rnacentral:rRNA from 1 species
UACAGAGGGUGCGAGCGUUGUCCGGAAUUAUUGGGCGUAAAGGGCUCGUAGGCGGUUUGUCGCGUCGGGAGUGAAAACCCAGGGCUUAACUCUGGGCUUGCUUUCGAUACGGGCAGACUAGAGGUAUGCAGGGGAGAACGGAAUUCCUGGUGUAGCGGUGAAAUGCGCAGAUAUCAGGAGGAACACCGGUGGCGAAGGCGGGUCUCUGGGCCGAAACUGACGCUGAGGAAGCGAAAGCGUGGGGAGCAAACAGG